GACUAAAUUCUAUUUAAUGUCAAGUGUAGGACAAAUGUUGCCAAAAUUUAAAUGCCAUAUGUCUGGUUAAAUUGGCUUUUGUUUUCUAAACUAGAUUCCAAGCUAAUAACUUGUUUUAUUUUUAAUUUUCUUUUUUGUCCUUUGAUAUACUUUUUGUAUAUCUAAAUGUACGGAACAAGUAAUUUGUACUCCCUUUUCUCUAAAUCAGAUUGCAAGCAAGUAAUUUGUUCUCUCCUCAUUUUUUUCCAAAAUCAAAAUGCAAGCAAGUAAUAUAUUCUCUUCUUUUUUGUCCUUUGACAUACUUUGUUUCUAUAUAAAUAUAAGGAUUGGGAGGUAAUAUGGAGUACCAUAUCUGCAUUGAUCUUCUUGCUUUUCAAGUCAUCACAGGCAAUAUAGAGUUUACAUGUUAGCCACAAUAAGAAUUUGAUAUCAUUGCAGGAGUCACCAAGGGAAAAUUGCCCGCAGUCCGUGCAUCACUCCUCAUACGCACGCACCUCAUUGUCGAUUCUCUUGCUCAAUUUCAGUCACCAAAGUCACUUCUCCUUCGUCAUCACAGUUGCUCGUCGAUU